UGGGGAAUUUUGGACAAUGGGGGAAACCCUGAUCCAGCCAUCCCGCGUGUGCGAUGAAGGCCUUCGGGUUGUAAAGCACUUUUGGCAGGAAAGAAACGUCAUGGGUUAAUACCCCGUGAAACUGACGGUACCUGCAGAAUAAGCACCGGCUAACUACGUGCCAGCAGCCGCGGUAAUACGUAGGGUGCAAGCGUUAAUCGGAAUUACUGGGCGUAAAGCGUGCGCAGGCGGUUCGGAAAGAAAGAUGUGAAAUCCCAGAGCUCAACUUUGGAACUGCAUUUUUAACUACCGGGCUAGAGUGUGUCAGAGUGAGGAGAGAUUCCGCGUGUAGCAGUGAAAUGCGUAGAUAUGCGGAGGAACACCGAUGGAGAAGGCAGCCUCCUGGGAUAACACUGACGCUCAUGCACGAAAGCGUGGGGAGCAAACAGG
rnacentral:rRNA from 1 species